rnacentral:rRNA from 1 species
GUAAUUCCAGCUCCAAUAGCGUAUAUUAAAGUUGUUGCAGUUAAAAAGCUCGUAGUUGAACCUUGGGUCUGGCUGGCCGGUCCGCCUCACCGCGAGUACUGGUCCGGCUGGACCUUUCCUUCUGGGGAACCUCAUGGCCUUCACUGGCUGUGGGGGGAACCAGGACUUUUACUGUGAAAAAAUUAGAGUGUUCAAAGCAGGCCUUUGCUCGAAUACAUUAGCAUGGAAUAAUAGAAUAGGACGUGCGGUUCUAUUUUGUUGGUUUCUAGGACCGCCGUAAUGAUUAAUAGGGAUAGUCGGGGGCGUCAGUAUUCAGCUGUCAGAGGUGAAAUUCUUGGAUUUGCUGAAGACUAACUACUGCGAAAGCAUUCGCCAAGGAUGUUUUCAUUAAUCAGGGAACGAAAGUUAGGGGAUCGAAGACGAUCAGAUACCGUCGUAGUCUUAACCAUAAACUAUGCCGACUAGGGAUCGGGCGGUGUUUCUAUGAUGACCCGCUCGGCACCUUACGAGAAAUCAAAGUUUUUGGGUUCUGGGGGGAGUAUGGUC